CAGUAGCCACGGUAAUACAGAGGGUGCGAGCGUUAAUCGGAUUUACUGGGCGUAAAGCGUGCGUAGGCGGCUUUUUAAGUCGGAUGUGAAAUCCCUGAGCUUAACUUAGGAAUUGCAUUCGAUACUGGGAAGCUAGAGUAUGGGAGAGGAUGGUAGAAUUCCAGGUGUAGCGGUGAAAUGCGUAGAGAUCUGGAGGAAUACCGAUGGCGAAGGCAGCCAUCUGGCCUAAUACUGACGCUGAGGUACGAAAGCAUGGGGAGCAAACAGGAUUAGAUACCCCCGUAGUCCCUGUCUCUUAUAC
rnacentral:rRNA from 1 species